UUUCUAGUUCUAACUAUUAACAUCCAAAAAAGCCAGUGAAAACCGUUUUUCAAAAUCUCUGAUCAAAGUGGUAAUUACAAUUAAUGAUUAAAGGUUUUAAAAAUUCUAGUCAGCAGGAAAAAGAUCCUUUAAAAUUAAACCAGUCCAGGAGCUGCUAGAGGAUGAUCCUGAUCGUAGAUUACAAUUUUUGGGGAACCAUGAUAAAGUUGGUUGAUAAUGGUCAAAUACUUUUAGACUUUUAAAUACUUUUACUAUUAAUGCAGAGGUAAGCCGGCAAAAUUAUCGUUACUAUGUCGAUACAAAAUCGAAACAAAUCCAAAAUACGUGGUAGGGCAUCAUACACAACAUCAAGCAAAAACUAUGUGUAAGCUGGAAUCAUUGCAGAGCGAAUUAUUGGCCCGAUAUUUUUUGAUAACAACUUAACUGGUGAUAAAUAUAUUGAA
rnacentral:lncRNA from 1 species